rnacentral:snRNA from 1 species
AGCUUUGUGCAGUGGCAGUAUCAUAGCCAGUGAGAUUUAUCCAAGGCUCGAUUAUUGCUAAACGGAAAAAAAAGAAAGCUGAGUCCCAGUGAGAGUUGUCAUCUGUAAACAGG